UAACCUGCCUUGGAGUGGGGAAUAACACAGUGAAAAUUGUGCUGAUACCGCAUAAUGCAUUUGGAUCGCAUGGUUCUGAAUGCCAAAGAUUUAUCGCUCUGAGAUGGACUCGCGUCUGAUUAGCUAGUUGGCGGGGCAACGGCCCACCAAGGCGACGAUCAGUAGCCGGACUGAGAGGUUGGCCGGCCACAUUGGGACUGAGACACGGCCCAG
rnacentral:rRNA from 1 species